GAGAGAGGGAGUUGUAUAUAUUUCCAAUAGCAAAAUACACAUGAGUCUUUACAAAAGGAAGAUCCCCUUUAUAUACUGAGGGACCUUCCUCGAAAUAAUCAAAGAAAAGUACAAGGAUUGGUGGCCUCAUUGUACGAGUGUCAGAGCUCGAAACGACGUUGCAGUGAGUCAUGUCACUCGAUCCGUCUACUAACUGAGGCCGGCCUUACUCGAGUCGACCAUAAUUAGGUCACUUUCUUCACCGAAGACAUAUGUAAAUAACAUAGAAACAUAGGGAACUAAAUAUGUCCAAUACAAAUUUUUCAUCAGAACUAAUCGAAUCAAUAUGUUAAAAUAUUGACGCUUAUCCUCUAAAACUUUAAAUU
rnacentral:lncRNA from 1 species